CUUGUGAACCCAACACACGUGGUGGCUACUUCCCACUCCUUCCAAUGAAAUACGGGCAACUGAUAACCCACCGCCUCUCCUUAUCUGGGUUCUUCUCCACGGACUUUUCGUCUUAUAUUCACCUACCAGGGAGUUCAUUCUUGCAUUUAUCCCUUCCACCAUCUUUCUUUUCCAUCACCGACUUCCACUACACCACAAACCACCGACGCCUCGAUCAACUACGACCUUCCAGUUUCUUCCUUCGCUCCUCAUCCAACCCUUCUCAUCUCUUUAGUUUGAAAUCGAAACACAGACCGCCUCUGCCCAUGAGCCGAUAAGUGGCGAAGACGGAUUGAAGCGAGUAGAAAAGCCUCCGACAAGGUCGUUUUAUUUCUUGCAAUAGGUAUUCGAUUUCAUUUUCAAAACUUCACACUCUAUCUCGAUUUUUUUAUAGUAUUGUGUUGUUCAGAAGUCCACCUUCAAGAUUCCUUCUCAGGACUAUCGAUGUGUUAAAGUCAUGCAGCGGACCGAUUGAAUGCACGCCAUGUGUUUGAUGAAAGUCUAAUAAUGAUGAUCUUGCAACUAGCGGUCACCACGCAUCUCAUCAGGUGAGGCCCAAUGUUUAGUGUGUCUUUACAUGUAUGGACAAAAUAAUUAAGGCCAGGAAAGGAACAGUCGGGUAGGAUUGAGUGAGAAAAUGACAUUAGAAGUGAUGAUAUACCAUUCUACUUUGACUACUCCGAUAUGGUUGAGAUUCUUGCUUUCAAUACCUACGCAAAAUCAAAAUCCAAGCCUCUAUUCAAAGUGAAACCGUGGUGGCUCCUUAAAGCUUGAAAUUGUUUUGGCAUUAUACAAGGGUUCACUAUUUUUUUUUUUCAUAUUUUACUGGUAAUUUAUUUUAUUUAUGGUUGAUAUUUUGAUAUUCCGCUUUUGAAUAAAGAGGAUAUGCUUCUACUG